rnacentral:rRNA from 1 species
AACGAACGCUGGCGGCAUGCCUAACACAUGCAAGUCGAACGAGACCUUCGUGUCUUGUUGCGCACGGGUGCGUAACGCGUGGUAACCUUCCCUUAUGUUCGGAAUAACUCCCCGUAAGGUGUGCUAAUACCGGUUAAUGUCUUCUGACCAAAGAUUUAUCGCCUUUGGAUGGUCCCGCGUUGGAUUAGCUAGUUGGUAGGGUAAAAGCCUACCAAGGCGACGAUCCAUAGCUGGUCUGAGAGGAUGAUCAGCCACACUGGGACUGAGACACGGCACAGACUCCUACGGGAGGGAGCAGUGGGGAAUAUUGGAAAAUGGGCGAAAGCCUGAUCCAGAAAUGCCGGGUGAGUGAUGAAGGGAUUAGGGUUGUAAAGCUAUUUUACCCGGGAUGAUAAUGACAGUACCGGGAGAAUAAGCUCCGGCUAACUACGUG